GAUGAAGAACGCAGCGAAAUGCGAUAAGUAAUGUGAAUUGCAGAAUUCAGUGAAUCAUCGAAUCUUUGAACGCACCUUGCACCCUUUGGCAUUCCGAAGGGUAUGCUCGUUUGAGUGUCAUUGUACUCUCACUCUCCCGAUCUUUGGAUCGGGAGUGGUGGACUUGGGUGUUGCUGCUUUACCGUGGCUCACCUCAAAUGGAUUCGUGCAACUCCUGGUUGGACAUAGUACGGCGUGAUAAGUGUCUUCGCCGGCACCUCAGUAGAGGGUGGCUGAUCAGGAGCUCUGUGCUUCAAACCGUCCUCGGACAACAACUGACAACUUGACCUCAAAUCGAGUAGGACUACCCGCUGAACUUAAGCAUAUCAAUAAGCGGAGGA
rnacentral:misc_RNA from 1 species